AACGAACGCUGGCGGCAUGCCUAACACAUGCAAGUCGAACGAGACCUUCGGGUCUAGUGGCGCACGGGUGCGUAACGCGUGGGAACCUGCCCUUAGGUUCGGGAUAACUCCCCGAAGGGGGUGCUAAUACCGGAUAAUGUCUUCGGACCAAAGAUUUAUCGCCCUUGGAUGGGCCCGCGUUGGAUUAGCUAGUUGGUAGGGUACAAGCCUACCAAGGCGACGAUCCAUAGCUGGUCUGAGAGGAUGAUCAGCCACACUGGGACUGAGACACGGCCCAGACUCCGACGGGAGGAAGCAGUAGGGAAUAUUGGACAAUGGGAGAAAGCCUGAUCAAGCAAUGCCGCGUGAGUGAUGAAGGCCUUAGGGUUGUAAAGCUCUUUUACCCGGGAUGAUAAUGACAGUACCGGGAGAAUAAGCUCCGGCUAACUCCGUG
rnacentral:rRNA from 1 species